rnacentral:misc_RNA from 1 species
AGCAGCCGCGGUAAUUCCAGCUCCAAUAGCGUAUAUUAAAGUUGUUGCAGUUAAAAAGCUCGUAGUUGAAUUUCGGGAUCAAUUUGCUGGUCGUGCCUCUGGUACGUACUGGUAUUAUUGGUUUCUCCCUUCUGACGAACCAUGAUGUCAUUAAUUUGAUGUCGUGGAGAAUCAGGACUGUUACUUUGAAAAAUUAGAGUGUUUAAAGCAGGCAUUAGCUUGAAUACAUUAGCAUGGAAUAAUGAAAUAGGACGUUUGAUCCUAUUUUGUUGGUUUCUAGGAUUGACGUAAUGAUUAAUAGGGAUAGUUGGGGGCAUUAGUAUUCAAUUGUCAGAGGUGAAAUUCUUGGAUUUAUUGAAGACUAACUACUGCGAAAGCAUUUGCCAAGGAUGUUUUCAUUAAUCAAGAACGAAAGUUGGGGGAUCGAAGACGAUCAGAUACCGUCGUAGUCUUAACCAUAAACUAUGCCGACUAGGGAUCGGAUGAUGUUAAUUUUUAAUGUACUCAUUCGGUACCG